AACGAACGCUGGCGGCAGGCCUAACACAUGCAAGUCGAACGCCGUAGCAAUACGGAGUGGCAGACGGGUGAGUAACACGUGGGAACGUACCCUUCGGUUCGGAAUAACUCAGGGAAACUUGAGCUAAUACCGGAUACGUCCGAGAGGAGAAAGAUUUAUCGCCGAAAGAUCGGCCCGCGUCUGAUUAGCUAGUUGGUGAGGUAACGGCUCACCAAGGCGACGAUCAGUAGCUGGUCNGAGAGGAUGAUCAGCCACAUUGGGACUGAGACACGGCCCAAACUCCUACGGGAGGCAGCAGUGGGGAAUCUUGCGCAAUGGGCGAAAGCCUGACGCAACCAUGCCGCGUGGAUGAUGAAGGUCUUAGGGUUGUAAAUCCUUUCUACCGGGACGGAUAAUGACGGUACCCGGAGAAGAAGCCCCGGCUAACUUCGUGCC
rnacentral:rRNA from 1 species